AGAGGGUAGGGGUGAGUGGUCAUAAAGCUCAGGUCAUGACCCUGUAGCCAGCAGCAACUAAGGCUUGGAGUCUCUGCUAGCUAACACUCAAAGGAGCAUACCUAACAAAUGGAUAACAACAAAAGCAUUCAAAGAAUUCCUUGGCACGGGGAGCCCUCUUGUGAGAGGAAAUCCGAUCUAGGAGGGGAAGUUUCUGUUGUAAUGACGGAUGACAUGACAGAGCUGAAGUCGGCUGAGAGACUGUGCCUCCAAAGUUGCAUAGACUCAUCGUUUUUAAGAAUCUGUGAUUGAUGGACUACUACCAUGCUGUAACAAAUAAUGAGCUGGUUGGUUUUAGAAAAACAUGGAAUGACUUGAAUAAGCAGAGGGAAACAAGCAGAACCAAGAGAAUGUUGUAUGUGGUUAACAGAAAUAUUAUUUGAAGAGUAAAGAACUUAAAAAAAUAGAAUCUGUGAUCUAUUUUUUCCUGACUCCUUAUCCUGACCCUCAUAGCUCCUCACCAUUCUCCCUCUCUGCCCUACUCAAUCUAACUUAUUACAUUUCAUUCAAUAAAUACCUUUUAUGUAUCA
rnacentral:lncRNA from 1 species